GCGAACGUGGCGGAAUGGCAGACGCGCAGGACUUAGGAUCCUGUCCCGCAAGGGGUGCGGGUUCGACUCCCGCCGUUCGCA
rnacentral:tRNA from 1 species